UAUCUAUGCAAAUGUUUUAAGAAGAAUUAGCCUCUAUAUAAUAUACAAACAACCUGCACGCUGUUCGCUGAAUUCGCACUAUCCACGAACCCCAAUGAAACUUUUUGAAAACCUAAUAAACACACGCGGACGGACAAUUACUUAUAAAAUCUUCCCCUUUGCUUUUAUCCCAUGCGCAAACUCAGGAGUAGUCGACUGACUACACUCUGCGAGUUUUACUAUCUACGAUAUUAUCGUGUGUGGUUUUUUCCCCCCUGUUUGUUCACGCGAUCUUAGUUAUAAUAUUAAAUCUUUGAGUUAUAACUGUUAUGAUGUAAUCCUAUUUUUUUCUA